CUGGGCCGCACGCGCGCUACACUGAUGUAUUCAACGAGUAUAUAGCCUUGGCCGACAGGCCCGGGUAAUCUUGGGAAAUUUCAUCGUGAUGGGGAUAGAUCAUUGCAAUUGUUGGUCUUCAACGAGGAAUGCACAGUAAGCGCGAGUCAUCAGCUCGCGUUGACUACGUCCCUGCCCUUUGUACACACCGCCCGUCGCUCCUACCGAUUGAAUGGUCCGGUGAAGUGUUCGGAUCGC
rnacentral:ncRNA from 1 species